rnacentral:rRNA from 1 species
CGCGUAACACGUAGGCAACCUGCCCCAAAAGUGGGGGACAACAGCUUGAAAGAGCUGCUAAUACCGCAUGUGGCCCUUUGGUGGCAUCACCAUUGGUCUAAAGCUUUAUGCGCUUUUGGAUGGGCUUGCGGCCUAUCAGGUAGUUGGUGGGGUAAUGGCCUACCAAGCCGACGACGGGUAGCUGGUCUGAGGGGACGAUCAGCCGGAUUGGGACUGAGAUACGGCCCAG